rnacentral:lncRNA from 1 species
CACCUGCCGAAGUUCACCAGCAAACCGAGCGGUGGCUGUGGUUCAAAAUGUUUCGUGUGGCAGGGGCAGGGAGGAGUCAGCACGGGAGCACCACCUCCAGCAUCGCCCUGUCCGCAGCGGGGGUGCCAGAGCCCCCCGACGCCCUCCCAAAAUCUGGCAUCCGCAGGGGCUGCCCGGCCCCAUAAAGCCCUAAAUAAAAGAAAAAAGGCACACGGCCGCCGUCAGCUCCUUUUUGAUCAGAAGGCACCGUGCAGGCUCGCCAGCUCUGCUCCUUAAACCACGCCACCCGUUUUUUAGAUAAAUAGGUGAAAGCGGGGAAAUUCCCGGGGAAGGUUUCCGGGAUUUUUUUCCAAGCCAGCAGCAGCGGCCCUACAGCCAGGUCGGCCACGUAGCUUCACCCACGGAGUGAAGAUUUCUCCAUAGCAGGGCCCCCGGGAUGCUGCUGAAGGGUGGGAAAGAAGGAAAAUUGGGAAACGAGGCAGAGGCACGAGGGGUUCCCGUGCCCCUCGCCCCAUGCUGCAGGAGCUGGGGGCAGAUAAAUGGGGAUGGGAAGAAAUCACGCCUUGGUUUUUGGGGUGGGGGAGUUGGGAAGGCUCCACACAGCCCCCACGGACACCCAAAGGGAUGCAGGAAAGGGAAGGGGAUGGUGGAGGGGGUCCCUUGGAGAGCCAGGAGCGGGUUUGGGGUAAAGGAUGGGGCCAGUGCUGAGUGGGGCAGCUUCCCAGCACGCAGAGCUCAGCUUCACAGCCACGGGGGAGCGGUUUCAGAAGGCUGCGAGCGCCCCAAGGAGCAGGUACCCUGCCCUCACUGAAGAAAGACCUCGCACAGACCGCGAGGAGCGCGCAGUCCUCAAACACCAGGCACCACUGCACCAAAACCCAUCGGAUUUCCUCGCUGGGACGCAGACAAUUUGGCAGGGAGAGGCUCAGGAGGACAAAUUUUGCUUCCCCACAGCCCUGCUGCCUGCUCUGCCCAGGGCACAGCCCCACACCGAGCGCUCUGACACGAGGGGCACUAAACCCAAGCGGCUGGGUGCUGCUUUUUGGAUUUCCGUCACCCCAACACGCGAUGAGCAGACCAAAAACCAACUCAAGCAAGCGGCUGGAGACAUUCCCCCAUUUUUUUUUCCCCAUUUACCUACUGCAGAGCAAACUAAACGGGAGCCCACGGAGAUCCUCGGCGGAGCAGGGGCUGGAGAAGCUGCUGAGAGCAGGAGCGUGCGUGUUCAGCAGCCCACUAAUUGCGGCGGCGUUCGCUGCCCCGACCGGCCAGCUCCCCUGCCCUUCUCCUCUCCUGCCCAGUUAAUCACCAGCAGCCUCUGCCUGUUCCUCCUCUGGGCGGCGGGGAAGGAAGCAAAGUUCAUUAGUGGCCCUCGGCCACCGAACGAGCCCGAGACCAGACUUCAUUUAGAAAAUAAACACCACGAUUCAUGCGCGACGCGGCCCCAGAAUAGCCGCCCGAAAUAUUUAACGCAGCUGCCUGGAGCCUUCCUACUUCUCCCUCCCCCGAAAGAAAAGGCUCUCCCCUCGUUCCCUCACGAAUUUCUCCCCAUUUCUUUUUUUAUUUUCCAUUUUUCAGAAAAAAAAAAUAAAAAAAAAGCUAUCAACCCGGCCUGUCCGAGCUACCUUUAUUGCUCCUGAAGCCUCGCAGCGCCGAUAAACACUCAUUAAAAUCCAAGUUGAUAAAGCCUGGCACGGCAAUUACCUUCGUCCUCACGCCGAGAUUGCCCAAUUCAGCGCCGUGAUGUAACCAACACCCCAAAUUAAAAAUAGUGCGGUGACAACAUAUGGUUUAUCCUACAGAAGCUGGCAGGCAGGACGCUGCUAAUGACAAACGGGUUGGGUUCCCAGCUCCCCCCCCCCACAGCUCCCCGGCAAGGUGAAGAGACAGCUACAGCCUCGCGGGAUCGGAGGAGGAAAGGGGGGGGGGAAAAAAUAAAAAAAAAAAAGACAAAAACCGCA